UACGUAGGGUGCAAGCGUUGUCCGGAAUUAUUGGGCGUAAAGAGCUCGUAGGCGGUUUGUCGCGUCGAAUGUGAAAUCCCGGGGCUCAACCCCGGGCCUGCAUUCGAUACGGGCAGACUAGAGUUCGGUAGGGGGGUCUGGAAUUCCUGGUGUAGCGGUGAAAUGCGCAGAUAUCAGGAGGAACACCGGUGGCGAAGGCGGGACUCUGGGCCGAUACUGACGCUGAGGAGCGAAAGCGUGGGGAGCAAACAGG
rnacentral:rRNA from 1 species